GACGAACGCUGGCGGCGUGCUUAACACAUGCAAGUCGAACGAAGAGCGAUGGAAGCUUGCUUCUAUCAAUCUUAGUGGCGAACGGGUGAGUAACGCGUAAUCAACCUUCCCUUCAGAGGGGGACAACAGUUGGAAACGACUGCUUAUACCGCAUACGAUCUAACCUCGGCAUCGAGGAUAGAUGAAAGGUGUCCUCUACAUGUAAGCUCUCACUGAAAGAGGGGAUUGCGUCUGAUUAGCUAGUUGGAGGGGUAACGGCCCACCAAGGCGAUGAUCAGUAGCCGGUCUGAGAGGAUGAACGGCCACAUUGGGACUGAGAAAAGGCCCAGACUCCUACGGGAGGCAGCAGUGGGGAAUCUUCCGCAAUGGACGAAAGUCUGACGGAGCAACGCCGCGUGAGUGAUGACGGCCUUCGGGUUGGAAAGCUCUGUUAAUCGGGACGAAAGGCCUUCUUGCGAAUAGUGAGAAGGAUUGACGGUACCGGAAUAGAAAGCAACGGCUAACUACGUG
rnacentral:rRNA from 1 species